rnacentral:rRNA from 3 species
AAAUUGAAGAGUUUGAUCAUGGCUCAGAUUGAACGCUGGCGGCAGGCCUAACACAUGCAAGUCGAACGGUAACAGGAAGCAGCUUGCUGCUUCGCUGACGAGUGGCGGACGGGUGAGUAAUGUCUGGGAAACUGCCUGAUGGAGGGGGAUAACUACUGGAAACGGUGGCUAAUACCGCAUAACGUCGCAAGACCAAAGAGGGGGACCUUCGGGCCUCUUGCCAUCAGAUGUGCCCAGAUGGGAUUAGCUUGUUGGUGAGGU